rnacentral:tRNA from 1 species
UGGCUCAGUUGGUAGAGCAUGGUGUUUGCAAUGCCAGGGUUGUGGGCUCGAUUCCCAC